UAUAUAUAUAUAUUGGGGGCCCAUACCCUCAAGUUGAGCAUUUUUAUUCACUCCUGGAAGAAAGCAUUAAUUAUUUUAGCCUGGUUGUGUUUGUAGACAGUUGAAAAGAAUACUUUUUACAAAAA